GUCUCGCUCUGUCGCCCAGGCUGGAGAGCAGUGGCACCAUCUUACUGAAACCUCUGCCUCCCGGGCUCAAGCAGUCCUCCCACCUCAGCCUCCCAAGUAGCUGGGACUACAGGCACACACUACCACGCCCAACUAAUUUUUUUAUUUUUUUUGUAGAGACAGGGUUUCACCAUGUUGCCCAGGCUGGUCUCAAACUCCCAGGCUCAAGCAAUUUGCUGGCCUCGGCCUCCCAAAGUGCUGAGAUUACAGGCAUGAGCCACUGCACCUGGCCUUACCUUAUGGCUUUUCAAAAUCAGGUCAUGGCCAAAAAUCAGUUUUAAAACUAAAGAGUUGGGAGUUUCCUUGGUUAUCUCCAAUCUCAUCUCACUUCUAACUGAUGGCAGGAACGGGGGUCUGCCCUGACCCAGGGUCCUCCCAUUUAGGACCGUCUUGGAUCCGUCUCCUUAAGUCUUGGCCUAGCCUUCUCCUUAAGAUUUUGAUGACACAAUCAUUGGUUUCCCUGCAGCAGUCAGAUGUGGCUUCCCUUUUACAGAACAGUCAGGUAGGGUGCCCAGCUGGUGUUCUGGCCUCCACGGGCAGGCAGCAGGGAGGGUUUCCAGGUGGCCCAGGGCUUAUCACAGCUUCACUCCUCAGACCAUCAACAAAUGCCUGAGAUGACACAUUUCAUUGGCAUUUCUUCUCUCUUAAGUCUUCUGUAGCACUUCCCAGUUUACAAAGCACCUCCUCCGCAGGCUUUCUCCAGCUACACAACUUUAGAUCAAGUCACAGGAACCUGAAGGACACCACAGGUGCUUCCAGCAAGGGCAUCUGGAAGGCCUGUGGUCCGCGGUGGCUCAGGAAGGUAAGUGCGUUCUGACACCCACUAGCCUGCUCACCUGGGCCUUCCUAGCCCAGGUUCCUCACCUGUGAACAAGGACAGUGGGAGCAGUUCCUUACAGGACUCUAAUGAGAGCUGUUGAGGAGAUACAUCCCUAGCAAGGCAGAGUCCUCUCCACAAAACAGAAAAGGAAGAAGGCAGUUUCGUUAAUGACUAAGCAUAUCUAACUACAGUGUGUUGCAGCUCACCUGUGAAGAGAGCACACACAGACAGAAAACCCAGCAACUUUUUUUUUUUUUUUUGAGAUGGAGUCUCACUCUGUCACCCAGGCUGGAGUGCAGUGGCAUGAUCUUGGCUCACUGCAAGCUCCGCCUCCCGGGUUCACACCACUCUCCUGCCUCAGCCUCCCAAUUACCUGGGACUACAGGUGCCCGCCACCACGCCCAGCUAAUUUUUUGUAUUUUUAGUAGAGAUGGG
rnacentral:lncRNA from 1 species